rnacentral:rRNA from 1 species
AUGGUGCUCGCUGCCUCUUUGAAUAGGCAAGGUGGAUUCAACACACACAGUCUAGGAAGGCCACGGGAUGACUGUGAUGCAGUGAGGGCAACAGCGACAAUGGAGGAAUCUAUGCUCGUCGAGUUUCCACCCCAACGGCUGCCUCCGGAGCAGGAGAGUUCAAGGACAUCUCCCAGUUCAUGGGAGAGACUCGAGCACAGGUAA